AGUACUAAAUAAAACUGGAACAGAAACUCAAAUACAGCCUUGAACCCAUGACUGGGGAAUUUACUACUCUGAGCCACAUGCUCAACUCAGUGUGGCAGUCCAGGGAACAAGCAGGUCGCGCUACAGUGUGGGUAAAUGGAGUUCUAUUUCUGUGAAUUGCUCACGUCUUUUGCAGAUUGAUCUAUGUAUGUAAAAGUAAAGAAGAACCAAGAUGUCAUCGUCAUCAUCUGUCUUUCUCCAUUCCACCUGAAGCUCUCUCACAUUAACAUGGGUGUCCACAGAGCAGCUGAGAGUCACAUCCUCUCCAGCAUGUGCAUAGACAGGCUCAUCUGCACCCGUCACCACCAGCC